rnacentral:tRNA from 1 species
GCUAGUGUGGCUUAGUGGUUUGGGUGUUGGGAUACAACUCUGGAGACCAGGGUUCAAUUCCCUGCUUUGCCA